CCCGUCUGGCUGCAGAUGACUUCCGAACCAAGUGAGUGUCUCUGCCCUGGGGGCUGCAGAAGCCAGGACUGGGGUAGGGGUUGGGGGGUUUGGAAUCUGCCCUCACCUAGCCUAGAUGGCCUGAAGCUAACCCCGCUAUGGACUCCUGAACUCUGGGGAGGUAGGGAAGUCUUCAGAGAUGCUGAGGAAGCUCUGCCUGGCUGCAACUAUUUCCUUUGAAAGGUUUGAGACGGAACAGGCUCUGCGCAUGAGCGUGGAGGCCGACAUCAACGGCCUGCGCAGGGUGCUGGAUGAGCUGACCCUGGCCAGGACCGACCUGGAGAUGCAGAUUGAAGGCCUGAAGGAAGAGCUGGCCUACCUGAAGAAGAACCAUGAGGAGGAAAUCAAUACGCUGAGGGGCCAAGUGGGAGGCCAGGUCAGUGUGGAG
rnacentral:sRNA from 1 species